rnacentral:rRNA from 1 species
AGUGAACGCUGGCGGCAGGCCUAACACAUGCAAGUCGAACGGCAGGACAGUAAGAGCGUGGUCUUAGGGGGGGCGAGUGGCGGAAGGGUGAGGUAUGCAGCGGAAUCUACUUUGUCGUGGGGGGUAACGAAGGGAAACUCACGCUAAUACAGCAUACGACCUACGGGUGAAAGCAGGGGAUCUUCGGAACUUGCGUGAUUGAAUGAGAGGAUGUCGGAUUAGCGAGUUGGAGGGGGAAAGGCCAACCAAGGAGCCGCUCCGUAGCUGGCCCGAGAGGAAGUUCGGCCCCACUGCGACUGGGACACGGCCCAGACUCCUACGGGAGGCCGCAGUGGAGACUAUUGGACGAUGGGCGCAAGCCUGAUCCAGCCAUGCCGCGUGGGUGAAGAAGGCCUUCCGGUUGUAAAGCCCUUUUGUUGGGAAAGAAGAGCAUCAGGUUAAUACCCCGCUGUUCUGACGGUACCCAAAGAAUAAGCACCGGCUAACUUCGUG